rnacentral:tRNA from 1 species
GGCUCAUCUGGAAGUUUGAAAAUCAUUGCCCGCUGACUCUUAAUCAGCGGGUCGUAGGUUCGAGCCCUACAUCACCCACCA